GCUUGAAUGAUGACUUGAUAAUCUUUUGUCGGAUACCCCUUCACUCUUCAAUGAGUGAACUCUUCAUUCUGACAAGC
ensembl:snoRNA small nucleolar RNA SNORD101